rnacentral:rRNA from 1 species
GAUGAACGCUGGCGGCGUGCCUAACACAUGCAAGUCGAGCGAACAGAUGAGGAGCUUUCUCCUCUGACGUUAGCGGCGGACGGGUGAGUAACACGUAGAUACCCUACCUAUAAGACUGGGAUAACUACGGGGAACCGGAUCUCAUACCGGAUCAUAUAUUGAACCGGGUGGAUCAUUAGUUCUCGACCUUUUUGCUGUCCCUUUUAGCUUGAUCCGCGCCGGAUUGGCUAGUUGGUAAGGUAACGGCUUACCAAGGCAACGAUGCGUAGCCGACCUGAGAGGGUGAUCGGCCACACUGGAACUGAGACACGGUCCAGACUCCUACGGGAGGCAGCAGUAGGGAAUCUUGGGCAAUGGGCGAAAGCCUGAAGGAGCAAUGCCGCGUGAGUGAUGAAGGUCUUCGGAUCGUAAAGCUCUGUUAUUAGGGAAGAACAGAUGUGUGAGUAACUAUGGAUGUCUUGACGGUACCAAAUGAGAAAGCAACGGCUAACUACGUG